GGAGGGAUCAUUACCGAGUUUACAACUCCCAAACCCCUGUGAACAUACCACUUGUUGCCUCGGCGGAUCAGCCCGCUCCCGGUAAAACGGGACGGCCCGCCAGAGGACCCCUAAACUCUGUUUCUAUAUGUAACUUCUGAGUAAAACCAUAAAUAAAUCAAAACUUUCAACAACGGAUCUCUUGGUUCUGGCAUCGAUGAAGAACGCAGCAAAAUGCGAUAAGUAAUGUGAAUUGCAGAAUUCAGUGAAUCAUCGAAUCUUUGAACGCACAUUGCGCCCGCCAGUAUUCUGGCGGGCAUGCCUGUUCGAGCGUCAUUUCAACCCUCAAGCACAGCUUGGUGUUGGGACUCGCGUUAAUUCGCGUUCCUCAAAUUGAUUGGCGGUCACGUCGAGCUUCCAUAGCGUAGUAGUAAAACCCUCGUUACUGGUAAUCGUCGCGGCCACGCCGUUAAACCCCAACUUCUGAAUGUUGACCUCGGAUCAGGUAGGAAUACCCAGCUGA
rnacentral:rRNA from 1 species